ensembl:lncRNA
UGAUUCACUCUGACGACACUUCCGGUUCAAAAUGAGACGAGAACAACAAACACACUUAAUAAUGACUCCUUUAACAAACCAGCUCCCGAUGCUUUCAUGAAAGCGUCAUCUAUUAAAUGUGAACUACAGAUGUCUGAAUAAGAAUCGUCACUAGUGUUGUUUAUCUGUAUUAAUCUAGUCCGGUGAUCGUGUCCAAACACACAGAGAAACUCCUGCUGAAGCACGUGACACACUUUUAUAAAGAUGGCGUUUAUCAAAGUGGAGAGUGAAGAGCUGAAGAUUGAAGAAGUAUUCAGAGUCAAACAAGAAGAAACUGAGGAACAAACAGGUUGGUUUUCUUUCUCAAAUCAAAUCUUGAUAUGGACUGGUAUCUGUAAAUAUAAAGCCGCAAAAGUCGAUUUAAAUAUGAAUCCUGCGUGUUCUGCGUGUCUCUGUUAAUGAAUGGAGCAGAAUCGUGGUUUCUUUUAUUACACACAUAUGGAAGCGCGUUACACUCGUGGUGAUCUCAGCAUCUGCCGUCUCACUAAAUGAGGACGUAAACACAUGAACAGCAUCUCCAGAACUGCUCUUGGAGUCACUUUAUGAGCAUUUUACCGUUUGAUUUGAGUAAAACUAGCAUCAUAUCACACACACACGGAACUGUAAAGGUAUUCACGGCAACCUGUCAAAAUAAAUGUCCGGUUUAAUUUAAAGAAUAACUAUUG